rnacentral:rRNA from 1 species
GGACAACAGUUGGAAACGACUGCUAAUACCGCAUAAGCCCACGACCCGGCAUCGGGAAGAGGGAAAAGGAGCAAUCCGCUUUGAGAUGGCCUCGCGUCCGAUUAGCUGGUUGGUGAGGUAACGGCCCACCAAGGCGACGAUCGGUAGCCGGACUGAGAGGUUGAACGGCCACAUUGGGACUGAGACACGGCCCAGACUCCUACGGGAGGCAGCAGUGGGGAAUAUUGCACAAUGGGGGAAACCCUGAUGCAGCGACGCCGCGUGGAGGAAGAAGGUCUUCGGAUUGUAAACUCCUGUUGUUGAGGAAGAUAAUGACGGUACUCAACAAGGAAGUGACGGCUAACUACGUGCCAGCAGCCGCGGUAAAACGUAGGUCACAAGCGUUGUCCGGAAUUACUGGGUGUAAAGGGAGCGCAGGCGGGCGAUCAAGUUGGAAGUGAAAUCCAUGGGCUCAACCCAUGAACUGCUUUCAAAACUGGUCGUCUUGAGUAGUGCAGAGGUAGGCGGAAUUCCCGGUGUAGCGGUGGAAUGCGUAGAUAUCGGGAGGAACACCAGUGGCGAAGGCGGCCUACUGGGCACCAACUGACGCUGAGGCUCGAAAGUGUGGGUAGCAAACAGGAUUAGAUACCCUGGUAGUCCACACCGUAAACGAUGAUUACUAGGUGUUGGGAGAUUGACCCUCUCAGUGCCGCAG